rnacentral:misc_RNA from 1 species
AUGAUCAAUGGCUGAUCGGGUUGUCAAGUGAAGCCGUUUUCAGUGGACAGUAACAACCGGCAUUUCGAGCAUUUUCUCCUCCGUAAAGGGGGACGAAAUGGGAGUUAUGAUUUGUACAUAAUUGAGAAAUGUUGGUGUUUAAACGACAAGACAUUAUACUAACCAAAACCACGUAAUGGAUAAAACAACAACGUCGCUUGCAGAUGACCUGCAGGAUUUGCAACUCGAUCGACCGACUGAGGGUCUAAAGUCGACAGAAGAACUCGAAAAACUAACAGUAGAUGAACAACUCAGUGAUAUCGAGAGAGCUGUUUACCUGCUAAGCUCUGGCCAGGAAGUACAAAGAAUUAGUGUAAUCCACAACCUUCCCGACCUACUACGGGACACAGAGAGUCAUGAUGAGUGUAUGCGAAGGGUCGUACCCAAAGUGCGGGAGGUGCUUUACGUGGCCCAGACGGAGAUGCAGCUGGCAGCUUCGUCGGCCUUCCUACAGAUUCUACAGAAAAACCUCGUCCCCAUACAGAACUACACACAAACAUUCCUACAGACCAUACUCAACAGUGUGGACGCCAGAGACCCAGAUGUGGCCAGUGCCUGGUUAGAAACUCUACUGGACGUCAUUGACCUACUGCCCAAAGACAUCAUCAAGAAAGAGAUUUUGAACAUUGCCAUCGCUAAAGGCCAGCUGUCACAGACUGUCUAUUCCCGGCUCUCCUGCUGUAAAAUCCUCGGAAAGAUUGCCACCAAGUUUGAACCAUUUGUGAUUAAAAAAGAAAUCCUGCCGGUGGUACAGUCUCUGUGUCAGGAUGUUGAUUAUGAAGUGCGGGGGUGUAUGUGUCGACAGCUGGAUUGCGUGGCCCGGGGAUUAGGCCUUGAACCAACAAAAAGUGCAAUACUACCUGAACUGGUGGAACUAACGAAUGAUGAGGAGGGGUUCGUGAGAACAGCUGGUCUAGAAACCGUUGUCAGCAUACUAAGUCUGCUGGAUGAGGACACCUGCAAUAACACCAUUAUCCCGUUGGUAUGUAAGUUCUGUCAGCAGGCCAUGCAGAAUGAGGACAGUACCCUCCCGGUCGUAGCCAAGCAACUCGGCCGUCUCGCUCACGGACUACAAGUACAUCUGACCGACGAACAGAAGCAGUGGUUUGUAGACUACUACAGAAAGUUAUGUAAGGUCGGCCUUUCUCCUGAACGUGGCAAAAACACCAAGGAGGUGGAGUCGGACCAAUCCAAGGUCACAGACAUGCCACAAAAUGAAGAAGACGAUCAGUGUUUAGAAUGUAGGAAGAAUGCUGCCUUUAACUUUCCUGCGAUGUUUGUGUUUGUUGGCCCCAAGCACUUCAAGGUCGACUUGCUGGGCAUUUUCUCUAGUCUGUGUAAAGACCCCAACAGCCAGGUCAGAAAGACUGUGGCCAGUGGUUUCCACGAGGUAACCAAGUUGUUGGGGUCCCAGGUACAUAUACUACAACAUGAUCUCAUCAACUUGCUCAAGGAUGACUCUGUAGACGUUUUGCGUGGUAUUUUGACAAAUAUUGUUGAUAUUUUGGAUUCCUUCCUCGGUUCAUCCUCAAGCAAUCAUACUCUGUCCGAGGCCAAGAUGAACAGUCUAGGGGAGGUAAUACCAGCCAUCUUGGCGUCGGACGAGGUGGUGUCCAGUUUUAACAAUUGGAGAUUACAGGAAGAGCUGAUGACCAGUCUGGCCAGCUUGACUCAAUGUUGCUCGAAUGAGGUUCUCUAUACCAAAGUCAUACCUGUGCUCUUCAAUAAACUCAAAACAGCGCGAGCAUUACCUGUACGACAUACGUGUGCGAGGUCAUCGCUCAUCAUUAUCAGGACGCUCAAGAAACUGGAACAGAGGGAGGAACUCGUAUAUCGUCUCGUUACAGAGUUCUGCCAUGGGAGGAGCUGUCACCAGAGAAGCUUGUUCAUAGACAUUUGUAAAUUUGUGAUAGAACUAUAUUCUAAGACAUUUUUUAAGAAAUAUUUUUACGAAGUUGUGUUAGAACUGCACAAGGAUCCAGUGCCUAACAUUCGAUUACGAUUGUGUUCAUUACUUCCGCCCCUAAAAAGACUCAUCAAACUUCCGACGGACCGCAACCUGCUUCAGCAGCUGGAUCUGUGUGUACGGAAGCUGCUAGUGGCAGAGAAGGACAGGGACGUCCAGAAUGCCAUCAAAGUGGCUGUUGAAGAGUUAGAUAAAAUUCAUGUUCAAAUGGAAUCGCUAUCUCGAAGGAUGCUGUUUGAACAAGAUCUAGUGGACCAGAAAAAGGAAGAUGAGGAAAAACUGCUCAUAGAAUUAGAGGAAAGAGAUCAGAAGAGGGAAGAAGAAGCAGCAGAGAAAAAGAAGGGAGAAAAACGCAAUUCUGUGACCUCUGCUUUAGCGAAGAAGGGUGAUAACGGAAGUAAAAUUCCUGGACCACGUAAAGGUUCUAAGAAUUUAGCUGUAUCCGGUACGACGUCGCCGAAUACAUCUACUAAAGAUGUCCAGAACAGAAUUGGAAAAAAUAGCAUAGCCAAAUCAAAGUCCACAAACAGUUUGUCUCAGAUUCCUCGCCGAGGUAAGACAAUCGCAGAAAAUAUAGGAAAACCAGACUCACCCAAACCUAUUAGAAGCAAAAUACCGGCAGCCAAAGUCAAGCCUCAGCCUAACUAUGACUCAGGGAAGAAAGACAGUACCGUCUCUAAGUCUAUGCCAAACAAGGCCCUGCCUCGGCUGAGUCGUCUCCCCUUGUACAGCUCACAGCCAAAUCUCCAUUCCUCCCAGAGCAGUGGGGGCAAGUCCCCAAUCGGUCGAGCGUGUAAACCUUCUCUGGCCCCCAAACCUUCCGGGGGCGCUGGUCUGAAGAAGACACCGGUGUCCAGAUUGUCCAGACUACCACUGUACAACUCCAAUCCGGACUUGUGCUCAGAGAGGCUCAGGGAGGCCGGGCCCAUUAGGGGACAACCCAGAGCCCAGAGGGUCAGGCAGCAAGAUCGGCUCCGGUACCAAGGGAGCUGUAGCCCGCUCAGGAGCACUGCAGGCCCCCGGGAGUGCCGGAACUAGCAGGGGAUCGAUGACAGGCCUAGCCCCCACCUCGAACAACUCCGGGAGGCGGGGCUCCUUCGGCAAUGUCAGUAGUAGCGAGGCUGUGAAGACCACUAAAGGAAGUAAUGGUGCAGUUCCGAGUACAAAGGAGAAAAUAAACAGGAAGAAGUCGAAAUGACGAGGUCAUCGUCAGUUGAUGAAGACUUUAACCCAAUAAACUGACCAAUGUGUAUAAACAAUUGUAAUUGACAUGGAUUGGUCAGUUGGCCUAUCUAUCCAGGGCACUAGUACUGGUCAUACAAUACAGAGCACUGGUCAGCACUUCAAUGAUCAACUUGAAAAGGAAGGCCGUUGGGCCAAUUUUUAUGUACAAUUGAGUUGACAUGAAUUGGUCAGCCAGUCUGUCUUUACAGACCACUGGUCAGCUGAUACAGAACACUGACCAGUGAUUCAGGGGUCAACUUGAAGAGAAAGAUCGGUGAGCCAUUGUGUUUGGAGAGUUAUAAUUUACAUGGAUUGGUCAGUUGGCCUAUCUACAGGGCUCUGGUCAGUCUGAGGAGGAAGGCAGGAGAGACAUGUUCAGCCACCUUCAUCUGUUCAAGCCUACUGUUAACUUGUGCAAUUACUUUAUACAGAAGAGAUAGCAGAGAAUAUAAUGGUGUGACCAGAGAAAUUACGGUCAUCAAUACCGUGACUGAUAUCUGUAACGUGACUAUAACUGUAACGGACAAUGAUUGGCUAUCAGUUUAGUUACAAGUCCUACACCAGUAGCUGUCUUAAGAUGCCUAUAAAUGACCAGACUGUUAAAGCUUUUCUGAGUUAAGGAUAUUAAAGAAUGACUGGGGAAAUGUCAGUGUAUUUAAAUGAAAAACAGAGAGAAGAUUUACUUAACGGAAUGAUUGAAGAGUUAAUGUGAUGUGGCAGAAAUUCCUAGUGGUGAAACAUUACUGCUGAUACAUUGUACCACUUAGUACCAUUGUGUUAUAAGCUUCAGGUGAUCCGUGUUACUGACUCUGCUGUCGUACUCGGUAACGACUUGUGUUGUAAAGGUUCAGGUGGUCCGUGUUACUGACUCUGCUGUCAUACUCGGUACCAUUGUGUUAUAAAGGUUCAGGUGAUCCGUGAUACUGACUCUGCUGUCAUACUCGGUACCAUUGUGUUGUAAAGGUUCAGGUGGUCCGUGUUACUGACUCUGCUGUCGAACUCUGUACCAUUGUGUUAUAAAGGUUCAGGUGAUCCGUGAUACUGACUCUGCUGUCAUACUCGGUACCAUUGUGUUGUAAAGGUUCAGGUGGUCCGUGUUACUGACACUGCUGUCGUACUCGGUACCAUUGUGUUAUAAGCUUCAGGUGGUCCGUGUUACUGACUCUGCUGUCAUACUCGGUACCAUUGUGUUAUAAGCUUCAGGUGGUCCGUGCUACUGACUGCUGUCGUACUCGGUAACGACUUGUGUGUACAGUGACACUUGUGGUGUUCCUUUUUAGGAAGGAACCACAUGUGGUGCAGAUAGAUCUACAUGUGGUGCUUCAUUUUUACUUCUGCAAAUAAAUCGCUGUGAUGAACACAUGGUAACUUUCACCACACACAGGAGUUGAUUGAGAACAUCAUCUUACAAUUCCAUCACUCUAUCUCCUCAAACAAACAAAAAUGUAAAAAAAAAAA